rnacentral:rRNA from 1 species
GAGUUUGAUCUUGGCUCAGAUUGAACGCUGGCGGCAUGCCUUACACAUGCAAGUCGAACGGCAGCACGGGAGCUUGCUCCUGGUGGCGAGUGGCGAACGGGUGAGUAAUGCAUCGGAACGUAUCCUGGAGUGGGGGAUAACGUAGCGAAAGUUACGCUAAUACCGCAUAUCCUGUGAGCAGGAAAGCGGGGGACCUUCGGGCCUCGCGCUCUUGGAGCGGCCGAUGUCGGAUUAGCUAGUUGGUGAGGUAAAGGCUCACCAAGGCGACGAUCCGUAGCAGGUCUGAGAGGAUGAUCUGCCACACUGGAACUGAGACACGGUCCAGACUCCUACGGGAGGCAGCAGUGGGAAUUUUGGACAAUGGGGGCAACCCUGAUCCAGCCAUGCCGCGUGAGUGAAGAAGGCCU